rnacentral:tRNA from 1 species
GAGGUUCUAGUUAAAUAAUAACAAUGCCUUGUCAAGGCAUAAUCACGAGUUAAACCCUCGUGUACCUCU